rnacentral:rRNA from 1 species
UACGGAAGGGGGCUAGCGUUGUUCGGAAUCACUGGGCGUAAAGGGCGCGUAGGCGGCUUUAUAAGUCGGGGGUGAAAGCCUGUGGCUCAACCACAGAAUUGCCUUCGAUACUGUAGAGCUUGAGACCGGAAGAGGUAAGUGGAACUGCGAGUGUAGAGGUGAAAUUCGUAGAUAUUCGCAAGAACACCAGUGGCGAAGGCGGCUUACUGGUCCGGUUCUGACGCUGAGGAGCGAAAGCAUGGGGAGACCGAACAGG